GGCAGCGUGGCCGAGUGGUUCAGGGCGCUGGGCCUGUAAUCAGGAGAUCCAGGGUUCAAGCCCUCCAUCCUGCCA